rfam:Mycoplasmataceae bacterium CE_OT135 Contig_8, whole genome shotgun sequence.
GCAGGCGUAGUUCAAUGGCUAGAACACCGGCCUUCAGAUCCGGUAAUGUGGGUUCGAUUCCUGUCGCCUGUG